GCCUCUGCUGCCUGAUACUAGGACAGAACCCCGAGUAGAUCUAAGGAUAGCGUCUACAGAUUGCACCUUUGUCGCUGAACAGAAAUGCCUGGGCAGCAAAAAGAACCCAUCAGGCCAGCCAGGAGACAGCCUUUAGGCAUAAAAUUCUCAGCUUUAACCCAGGGAGCUUACAGACCCCAUUAUCUUUACAGUCACUGUGGCAGUUGAAAGAUUUGUCACAGGGAGCAUGCAUUGCCACAAGCAAACGGAAUAAUCACCACCGGUGCUACUACACCCCCUCAGAGUUGCCGUCCUCCAUCUUGUGCUGCUGUCAAGGUUCCCUUGACAUGGACUUGAAAAAUCAGCCCACCAGCAUUAGCAACUUCUGUAAUGCCAAGGAAGUUUAUAUAAACUGCUACAAGUGCUAAUCCUUUACCUCUGCGAGGGGCUAAUAGAGAGCAAGAAGUGAACCCAUAUCUCACAAGUGCCAGUCCUCGGCUGCAUAUUUACAUUAACCUUCCUCCCUCCGUCAUACCCCUUCUGCCUUUCCCCGCCUGGUUGUGUGUUUAAUACUAAAAUUGGAAACAGGAAUACAUUAGGCACAUAAAGCUGACAUAGCUCACUAAACAUG